UGGGGAAUAUUGCACAAUGGGCGCAAGCCUGAUGCAGCCAUGCCGCGUGUAUGAAGAAGGCCUUCGGGUUGUAAAGUACUUUCAGCGGGGAGGAAGGUGUUGUGGUUAAUAACCACAGCAAUUGACGUUACCAGCAGAAGAAGCACCGGCUAACUCCGUGCCAGCAGCCGCGGUAAUACGGAGGGUGCAAGCGUUAAUCGGAAUUACUGGGCGUAAAGCGCACGCAGGCGGUCUGUCAAGUCGGAUGUGAAAUCCCCGGGCUCAACCUGGGAACUGCAUUCGAAACUGGCAGGCUAGAGUCUUGUAGAGGGGGGUAGAAUUCCAGGUGUAGCGGUGAAAUGCGUAGAGAUCUGGAGGAAUACCGGUGGCGAAGGCGGCCCCCUGGACAAAGACUGACGCUCAGGUGCGAAAGCGUGGGGAGCAAACAGG
rnacentral:rRNA from 1 species